rnacentral:rRNA from 1 species
CUGGAGAAGGUAUAUUCAUUCUGUGAGGAACAUGACAUUCCUAAGGUAAACAUGCAUGAUGAAUAUGUCGAUCGGCGUAAGCCAAGAAAAAGAACCAAUAUUACAAAUCUUCAUCAUUACCAAAUAGAGUGCCUUAAUACUGUUAUUGAUUGGCAAUUUCGAGAGUUUGAUGAUAGAUUCAAUGAAGUGAAUUCUGCACUGCUUAUCCACAUGGCUUCUUUCAACCCAAAAAACUCCUUCGCAGCUUUUAACUUGGAUAGUUUAUAUAAGCUAGCUGAGUUUUAUCCUGAUGAUUUCAAUUCAACACAAUUGAUGAAUCUUGGUCAUGAACUUCGGAUUUUCAUAGACAAUGUCCGGGCGGACCAAAGAUUUGCAAAUUAG